ensembl:snRNA U6 U6 spliceosomal RNA
GUACUAAAUUCAGCAGCACAUAUACCAAAAUUGGAAUGAUAAAAGAAAAGAUUAGCAUGGCCCCUGAGCAAGGAUGACACACAAAUCUGUGAAGCAUUCCAUAUUUUU